GACGAACGCUGGCGGCGUGCUUAACACAUGCGAGUCGAACGGAAAGGCCCUGCUUUUGUGGGGUGCUCGAGUGGCGAACGGGUGAGUAACACGUGAGUAACCUGCCCUUGACUUUGGGAUAACUUCAGGAAACUGGGGCUAAUACCGGAUAGGAGCUCCUGCUGCAUGGUGGGGGUUGGAAAGAUUCGGCGGUUGGGGAUGGACUCGCGGCUUAUCAGCUUGUUGGUGGGGUAGUGGCUUACCAAGGCUUUGACGGGUAGCCGGCCUGAGAGGGUGACCGGCCACAUUGGGACUGAGAUACGGCCCAGACUCCUACGGGAGGCAGCAGUGGGGAAUAUUGCACAAUGGGCGGAAGCCUGAUGCAGCAACGCCGCGUGCGGGAUGACGGCCUUCGGGUUGUAAACCGCUUUCGCCUGUGACGAAGCGUGAGUGACGGUAAUGGGUAAAGAAGCACCGGCUAACUACGUG
rnacentral:rRNA from 1 species